rnacentral:misc_RNA from 1 species
GAUGAAGAACGCAGUGAAAUGCGAUACGUAAUGUGAAUUGCAAAUUCAGUGAAUCAUCGAGUCUUUGAACGCACAUUGCGCCCCCUGGUAUUCCGGGGGGCAUGCCUGUCCGAGCGUCAUUGCUGCCCUCAAGCACGGCUUGUGUGUUGGGCCCCGUCCUCCGAUCCCGGGGGACGGGCCCGAAAGGCAGCGGCGGCACCGCGUCCGGUCCUCGAGCGUAUGGGGCUUUGUCACCCGCUCUGUAGGCCCGGCCGGCGCUUGCCGAUCAACCCAAAUUUUUAUCCAGGUUGACCUCGGAUCAGGUAGGGAUACCCGCUGAACUUAAGGAUAUCAAUAAGCGGAGGA